GCAUACGUUACAGAAAAUUUCAAAUAUAUUUAUAUUUAGGCUAAAUUACAGAAAACUCCUCCACCAGAAUCUGAAUUUUUAUUUUCCAUUUCUGUCAUUUAAAAACCUAUACUUUCCCUCAUUGAAAAAUAAAAAAUAUUCAUAAAGCGAUAUGGUGUUAACUGUGAUGACAAAAUGAUCAAAUUGCCCCUCACCCUCUUCGUCUCCUCCCCAAUCCUGCUCAUUCGCAGCCUCUCCACCUCCGUCCUUCACGCCUCCCUCGACCCCGACUUCAACUCUGUUUUCUCCGUCUGGUCCCUUGCUCCUCUUGCACCCUCGCCUUCGGGGUGAGCAUGGACCGAGAGAUGGGCGAAGGCGAGGGCAAAGGUGAGGCAGUAGACUAGGGCGAGGGCGUGUGUAUAGGCGCGGACGAAGGGGUGGGUAAGGGCGAGGUGGCGAAGGAGGGGGAGGUGGCGCGAUCGAGGAUGUCGAUGAGGAAGGAGGAGGCGCAUCUGAGAUGAGAGUUUCAAGAGUAUUUUAGGUAUAAAAAAUAUGUAAUAAUAGAAUAUAAACAGAACACUGAUGGUAGGGGUCAAAAUGGACAUUUGUUCUUUUUUAAAGGAACAAAAUAUAGGUUUUUAAAUAAAAGGAAGAGAAAGUAAAAUAUUUGGUAUUGAUAGAAAAAUUUUCUGUAAUUUAGCUUCAUAUUUAUUGAGGCUUGCUCUCAUAUCUACCGAUGCAGAUAUCCGAAACUUUCUCUGAAUUUGAAUCUAAACGGAGCAAAUUUAUUUGAUGCUAAAUGGAUAUAGUUUUGAUACGGAUAUAAAAAAUGAAAACUCAAAGGAUUUGGAUUCAGAUAUACAUUUUAUUUGUAUCCAAUCCGAAUCCGAACCCGAAUUGAUUUUACAUUAUAUAUUUAAAAUUAAUGCAUUAAUAUAAUUAUAAAUAAAAUUAAUUAAUUAACUAAUUAAUAAUGUAAUGUAAUGUAAUUCUAUAGAUUAUAAAUGUUUGGAAGAAAAGG
rnacentral:lncRNA from 1 species